ensembl:snoRNA SNORD22 Small nucleolar RNA SNORD22
UUCCAGUGAGGAAACAGUCACAUGUCUUACCUCCUGUCCUAGUCCCAGAGCCUGUAAAGGUGAACCCACUGGGGCUGGCUGGGGGGAAGGAGGAAACUUGCUCCAGAAGGAACUGUCUGAGGGAU